rnacentral:lncRNA from 10 species
CACUAGCUUCUGGAACAUGGCAGAGAAGAAAUGGGCCAGUUUAUUUACGAGAUUUGAUUGGGAGGAUGGUUGCCAACUACACCCUUUCUCCUAUCAGAAGGAUAAGAAACAGGUGUUUCGAAAGUGCCCAUGGCCAUAAGGGAGAAAGAGCACCAGACCAUCUGAAUAACGUGAAAGUGGACACAGGAAACACCAGACACCCAGAGAAAUGGAGUCCAAAUAGAAACUCAGACCAUUCUUGCUGGAGAUACAUCAAGUGAAUACCUUUGUAGAUCUGGACCUGACCCAAGGAAGCCUGGUAUGUUUAUCUGGGAUCUCCUACUCUCUGUGUACUACCCUCUCUGUCCCUUUCCCCUCAUUCUCAAUUAAGACAGCCUUGAGCAAAUUUAAUUUCUGUGAUGAUCAGAUCUAAAGCUCUAAGUAUUGACUAAACACUGCUAAGAGCAUCGAAUUGCAUAAUUGAGACCAAAUGCUUGCCACAAACAGCUCCAUGUCAUCUCCUACAUGAAUGGAUUACUCUAAAAUAUCAGUUCAUGCACUGGCUUCUUUGAGAUGACCUAGGAAACUUGUUACAUGACAGAUUCCUAAGUUGUAUUGCCCAAUAUUUUGCCUCAGUCUGUUUGAUAGUCAGCUAAGUUUGCCAGGUUUGGGAACUCCAGUUUUAGACCUCAAAUUAGAAGUCACUCUGGGAAGAGCCCUUGAGCACUCAUUUGGUGAAGUCACUUUAACCUUGUCCAGCUUACUCUGGUGCUGUUUGCCUAAUUUUCAAGGAUAUGAAUUAUGCUACUUUGUUAUAUCUAAGUGGAAGGAAAAUAGGAGCCCCAAUAGCAUUCUGUUGAGUCACUUCCACAAAAUGAUCCUCUGAGACUCAUUUUGCAGAUGCACUGAGAUCCAAAGAUAGCUGUAUAAAGGGAUUGUAGGCAUAAGGCCAUCAGAUACACCAAAGUACACACAUAUAUGCCUACACAUGUACACACACUAUCAUUGCCUUGUCUCUGAGAACCAUAGACAAAGUUGGCCAAGCCCUUGGCCAGGACUGUUGUGAAUGAUUGCUCAAACUGUAUGCUGAACAGUUCUGGGCACCAUUUUCAUAGACUGCAAUAUGAAUAGUCCACCAGCAGUUGUGCAAUAUGGUGGGCCUUGGAAAAAUGUAGUUAUUAUUUUGAAAAUAGGAAGGAGCCCACCACUGAGGAAGCAAACAAAAUGUUUGUGGUGAAAUUUCAACAGGAUUAUCUUCUUGUUAUGCAAUUAGGUCUCAAGCUCUGCUCUCAGCACAUGGACAUGCAUAUGCACAUACUCUACUUAUUGAAUUUUUCCUUUUCUCUAAUCCAGGAUGAUUUGCAAAAGUUUUCCUUCCAUACCUCUACACCACAGAUGGAUUGAGAAAUGUCACAACAAAUUAGAAGUGAAGAGUUAAGUCAUGGCAAGUGACUCCUCAACUCAAGGCUCCUUCAACAUUCUGGAACUGUUUAAUGUCAAUCUUGACUUUGUCUCCAGGGCCCUUUUCUUUUCUUUUUUCUUUUUCUUUCUUUCUUUCUUUCUUUCUUUUUUUUUUUUUUUUUUUUUGAGACAGUUUUCACUCUCGUUGCCCAGGUUGGAGUGCAAUGGCAUGUUAUCAACUCACUGCAACCUCUGCCUCCUGGGUUCAAGCAGUCCUCUGGCCUCAGUCUCCUGAGUAGCUGGAAUUACAAGCGUGUGCCACCAUGCCCGGCUAAUUUUUGUGUUUUUAGUAGAGACGGGGUUUCACCACAUUGGCUAGGCUGUUCUUGAACUCCUGACCUCAGCUGAUCCACCCGCCUUGGCCUCCCAAAGUGUUGGGAUUACAGGCGUGAGCCAAUGCGCCCGGCCCCAGGGCCCUUUUCUUAAAACCAAAUCCCAUGCAAUAAAGCACGUUUAUUUCAUGCAACACAGCUUAGUUAAUGCUUAUACUUCCAAAUACUCCGGUUUACUAGGUACAACUCAAUCAGGAGUGCCUAGUAUAAAAGAACAUGCACAGCACAGCGACAGAGAAUGUUCAUCACCAAACACAAGGAAGCAAAGGAGAUGCAAAGCUAUGGUAGCUAGAGGAGGAUUAGCUUUCCUGAUUUCAGUUUGAGAAAAGCCACUUGUCUCUACAGUCCACUAGUUUGGCAAGGCAUUUGCCCUUGGCUGUGAGAUGAUGUUACAUUCAAAGUAAGGUAUAUUAAUUUCCAGGCUUGUCCAGGAUCAGGGGCUGGAGUCUUCCUUCAAUAGUAAUCCUUUCCUUAAAACCAGUUCUAAGCUUUGUAUUUGUUUUAUUAAGUGAUUGGAUAGCCCUGAAAUAUGAGUUUCCUCCAAUCUCUUCCACUUUGCAAACUCCAGAACCGUUUGACCAAUAAGUUAAAACCCAGAGGAGGACUGACUGUGAGCUAAGGCUUCAGACAUGCAAAGCGCACAACCCUGGGAAACAGCAGCAUCUGGGACAGGAGGCUCCCAUUACUACACAUGAGGGUGUCAUAGGUUUUGCAAAUCAAACACACAUAGAAAACCAGUAGUAGCCUGGGUUGGACACACUGUAUGAGUUGCACAGUUGAGUGAGGACCCAGACCAGGGAGCCACAUGUUCCUCUAGCUUGCAUACAUUUAUUUCACACCACCUCAGGCCACUCAUAGUUUGCUUACCUGCUCAUUGUUGCUCUCCCACCAUUCCCCAUACUCCCUUUGGGGGUGAAACACUCUAUUUCCGACUUGUGCUGGGCCAGUCUCCUGUCUUUGUACCUGGUGAGCAUGAACAAGGACAGGAGCAAACAGAAAGACGUGAUUGUGUGCUUAACUGCCAGGCUGAGGAACGGCCGUGACUGUGGAGAUGGUCACUCUGUGCCAAAAUGGGGGUUCCUGCUUCUCAAUGCAAUGACCAACCUGUGAUACUUAUUAGAUGAAUGUGAUGGCAUAUGGACAACAUCAG